AUUGAACGCUGGCGGCAUGCCUUACACAUGCAAGUCGAACGGCAGCUCGGGAGCAAUCCUGGUGGCGAGUGGCGAACGGGUGAGUAAUGUAUCGGAACGUACCUUUCAGUGGGGGAUAACGUAGCGAAAGUUACGCUAAUACCGCAUAUUCUGUGCGCAGGAAAGCAGGGGACCUUCGGGCCUUGCGCUGAUUGAGCGGCCGAUAUCAGAUUAGCUAGUUGGUGAGGUAAAGGCUCACCAAGGCGACGAUCUGUAGCGGGUCUGAGAGGAUGAUCCGCCACACUGGAACUGAGACACGGUCCAGACUCCUACGGGAGGCAGCAGUGGGGAAUUUUGGACAAUGGGGGCAACCCUGAUCCAGCCAUGCCGCGUGAGUGAAGAAGGCCUUCGGGUUGUAAAGCUCUUUCGGCCGGGAAGAAAUCGUAUCAGCUAAUACCUGGUGCGGAUGACGGUACCGGCAUAAGAAGCACCGGCUAACUACGUGCCAGCCGCCGCAGUAACAC
rnacentral:rRNA from 1 species